CGGAAAGGCUGGCACUCAGGGAAAAGCUAGAAGGACUGGCACAGGGACAGCGGGCGGGCAUGGGCGUCUUCCCUCCCCUGCACCCCCCCCACCCCCACCCUACCACCCAGACCUGGAGCCUGUGGUGAUCUCAGGGAAACAGUGCGUCCCUAAGCAAACACCACAUGAAGCAGGUGCCAGCGUGCAUUCAUUAAUCGCCCAGGCUGAGAGAAGGGUGGAAGGCCUCCGAGGAAGGGGAGAGGCACUCCCAACCCUAGACCCCAGCCUCGAUCCCAGGCGAUAGCCCUGAAGGAAGGAAGACUAGGCAGGACAUUGCAACAAGGAGGAACAGAACGCUUUGGGAAGAGGAGUGGAGAGAAGGCAAGGGAGAAGGAUGCCGUGCUGGUCCCAGCCAGGACAGGAGCCAGUCUGGGAGGGAGAACAGACAAAGGUGAUCCUAGCAUCCCUAGCCCUGGGACCGGAAGCGGCGGGAAGGUGCUUUCAGGUGAACGCGCGCACCUCCAGCUUCUCUGUCCAGGAAGACUUGACAACUGGCAGAGAAAAGAAAAGGAAAUUAACACCUACCCAAGCACGGUCUCUGCUGCACUUCCCAGGAUAGGCCCUGCGAUCCUGCCUAUGGAGGAGCGACCUGAGAGGUCAGGGGUAACCACCUGGUCUCAGCCCAACCAAAACUCUCCCCAGGGAUGGGAACUGGGACUGAGAGAGAAAAGAGAUGAGUCCUUCUCCAGGUGGCCUGUACACCAGGGAGCUGCUGGAGGCCGUCUUUUGCACCCGUAGGCGGACCGUGGAGCUGAGCAGCGUCUCUGCAGUGAGAGGAACGAGGAAAGCCCGCACAG